CAUUUCUUUCUUCAGCUUUGAAUGUUCUCUUUGAUAGGCUUGCUCCUCAGGGUGAUCUACUCAACAUGUUUCAGAAGCAUAAGUAUGAUGUUCGUCUCUUAAAGAAGCUGAGAAUGACUUUGCUUGGCCUUCAGGCUGUGCUAAGUGAUGAAGAGAAUAAGCAGACAUCAAAUCGACACCUGAGCCAGUGGCUUAUUGAGCUUCGCGAUGCUGUGGACGGUGCUGAAAACUUAAUAGAAGUCAAUUAUGAAGCUUUGAGACUUAAGGUAGAAGGCCAAAAACAAAAUCUUGCAGAAACAAACAACCAUCAAGUGAUACAAGACAAACAAGAGAAAACUAGGAAUCACAGACCAAAACAGUCCACAAGUUAAGAAACCGAGGACUAUCUUGGUGACCACACUCGGAUUCGCUAGUGAUAACAAUAAUGGAGAGAAUAUCACGUGUUUAACACAAUAAUCAGCCAGCCCCAACUAAGAUUAACAACAAUAUAUGAAGCACAAGAUGAACAUAACAAUGUGAAGAACACAACAAGACAAACGGCUCACAAUACAAGAUACCAAACCGUGACAAGAUUACAAAAAUGUAAAUGAUAGAAAGAUAGACAUACACUACUACAAAGUCUAAGAACCUAAUGUGUUCUCAAACACAAAGACCCUAAACAAUGAAAGUAGCAACACCUACACUCUUCAAAGAACACAAGAGGGAACUCAAUCCUUCAAGCAUCCAAGGUUCCAAGCAAACAAACAACAAGAGUGAAUUCACACUCUAAUUGUUACCUAGUUUCGGCCAAGCCCUUUUUGGGAGAGAACUUGUGUGUUUCAAGAGUGAGAUCAAUAUUCAAUAUCCAAAAACUAAGUGAAUAAACCCUAACAUGUUCCUUAUAUAUUACAAAACAAAUAGAAGUUAAAAUGACCCAAAAGGCCCUUCAAGAAUGGGCUGCCCCUCUAGUGUAUGGAGUGGGCUGUUUUGGUGUGUAUUUGGGCCUUUAAUUACACUUCUCUUUCACAUACACUUGGUAGCUUUCAAUUCAAACCCACAUAAGUCUAUUUCCGUGAUUAUUCUCGUAUCAAGAGAUAAGAGAGUUACAAUCAGUAAUAGAUAAUAUAACAAUCUGCUUCAUUCCAUGAAGUUGUGAUGUAAACAGCUCAGCGUCAUAAAAAAGAACCCCAACCUUAGGAGAACCAGUAACGUAAAACUCUUUUAAACUUGAAAGUUGGAGGGGUGUCUCCAAACUGAGUUCAGGGUAUUUUGAAAUUGUAAGGUUCUGAAGUGUGGGAAACUCUCCAUUCCCUGGUAUAUGCCACUGCUUCCACUCCGGCAUCUCAGCAAAUUCAACUUCCUCGAGAGAGUUAAAGGGCUUUUUGGAGGACAAGCUACCAUAUAAUUAUUUCGUUACCUCAGUUAUUCGAUGCAUCCCUCUAAUGGAAAGGAAUUUCAAAGAAGGAAGUUGUCCUAGUACUACAAGGAAAAACAGUUCUUUCAGGUUCUAAGAGACAAGUGUACUAGCAGCUUAAGAAACGAAUGAUCAGCUAGCCAAUUUGGAAAUUUUGUCCCUCUAAAUCUGGUGAUUUGGAGUUUUUUAUGUCUGUGUGCGGGCGUAGCUCAUCAAGUAUGUCUCUUUUCAGUUUGUGAAUUGUCCUCAGCACUUUCACUCCACUCCAAUGAUAGUUUUUCAACAUGAUUCUUCUCCCUUAUGUUUGCCUUCAAAGAUUCCCUUCUGUUAACCACAUUUUGCAACUCUAGAAUUGAUAGAGAUCCAUACAAGUUAUGUAGUUCACCCAAAUAUUCCAUUCUCAAACCACCUAAAAGAAACUUGGCUCCCACUAGCACUUGGAGGCUUUUCAACUUGCUCAGAUGUAGCGGCAUCUUCAAGCGAGAAGUGUUGUUUAUGUCAAGAUAACGCAAGUUGAUUAGCUUUUUCAUCUGCAGCGGUAGCUCAUCAAGAUAUCUACAAGAUAUAGGAGAAGUGUCUCUAAGUUAUAUAAUACACAAAUGGAAUUUGGUAACAUUUUAAUCAUUGUCCAAGAAAGGUCCAAAAAUCUCAGGAGCUUUAAUUUGAUAAAAAAGUCAUCCGGCAACUCCUUAAUCUUGUAAUGAGACAAUGAUAAUGCCCUUAAGGAUCUUAGUGUUGGAAGCAUUUUAUGCAGCACCCUCUUGCUUAGAGGAAUUCCAUUAUAGUGUUGGAUAUUUAUUGGAAGCAAUGUCCUCAACUGCUCCAAUUUGUAGAGGGGUGUCAAUUUCUCAAAAUCACCAGCAUAACCCAUUGAAUAUGAUAAAUGUCGACUUUUUUCCAACAUAUGAAAUCCUUGGCUCUCUUCCAACCCAAUACAAUGUUUUGAAGAUGCAAUUUGGGCUAAGUCAUUGACAAGGUCAUGCAUUAAGAAUUUCUCUAUGUUCCCUUGAGAAGGUUUCAAGACUCUUUCGAAUAAUGAUCUUGAUCUCAACUCGAGAAAGUAUUGGUUCCCUAUAUCUUGAAUUGUUUCAUCUUCCUGUGGUAUAAGACCAUUCGCAAUCCACAAAUGAAUAACUUGUUCUAUGCUAAAUGGAUAAUCUUUGGGAAAUAUUGCACAAUAGGAAAAACAUCGCUUUAAAUGUGUGGGAAGAUCAUUGUAACUCAACAUCAAUGCUGGCAAUAUGUCAUUGUCUGGUAGCUCCCAUAUUUCACUUCUCAAAAUACGUUGCCAUCCUUCAACCUCUGAUUUAGAGCGUAACAUGCCAGCGAGCGUCUUUAGAGCUAAGGGUAGUCCUUUGCACUUAGCUGCAAUUUGUUUUCCGACCUCUUCAAGUUCCGGAUGUCCCAUAGGAUCCGUGUUUUUAAAUGCAUGCCUUUUGAAUAAAGAUCAAGAGACUUCAAUAGACAAAUUGUUCAUGCUAAUUUUCUUAUUUUCUAUCAUCAAGGCAAGACUCUCUUUACGUGUUGUUACAAUGAUAUUACUUCCUAUAUUUCCUUGUACAAAAAGAUUUCUCAAGUCAUCCCACUCAUUAUAGUUAUCAUUCCACACGUCAUCAAGGACAACAAGAAACCUUUUUCCCUUUAGGCUUUGCUUCAGUUUGACUUGUUGCUGAUUAAAAUUGUCAUCAACCACUAAACCGAUUUCUUGAAGUAACCCUUUUAUUAUUCUGAGAGCAUCAUAUUUCUCAGACACACAAAACCAGGCUUUCAAAUCAAAAUGGUCUUUCACCGUAUCAUCAUUGUAAACUGCUUUUGCAAGUGUUUUCUUGCCCAGGCCGCCCAUUCCAACAAUAGGAACUACAGUCAGACUUUCUCCAUUUGCAUCCUUAGACAAUAAACGGUCAAUCAAGUCUUCUAUUUCAUUCUGCCUACCAAAGACAUCAGAUUCAUCCACCAAAGAAGUUGAAGGUCUUCUAGUUUCUUGUUUACUCAAAUCAAAAUGCUCCUUUAAGCCAAGACGGCCAAUUUGAUUUUCCAACUCCUCCAAUGUUUCAAUGGCAUCUUCCAACUUCUCCUCUAUGUUAAGAAAGAAAUCAUCAAUCAAGAGCAGGUUGAGGUCACUUACUUGCUGAUACAAGACAAACAAGGAAGUAUCAAAACAUACUCCAAAAACGUCCACAAAUCUUAAGGACCCGAGGACCUUUUUGGAGACUACUCUCGGAUUCACUAUUAACAGCAAGAAUACAAGAUAUAAUGCAGUAUUUGACACCAAAUCAGCCACCACAAACUAACAAAGAUAUUAACAAGAUGAACAUUAACUCAAUGGAAACAACAAUACACGGUUUUGACUAGAACAACACAAACUAGUACAUGAUAUGUAAAGAUAGGAAGUGAGACAUACACUAUUACAAGAUUAAGAACCCAAAGACGUAUUAAAUCUAAGGAACCCUAAGACUUACAAUAGCAACACCACACUCUUACGUGACACGAGAGGGAUUCCACCGCUCAUGCCCCAAUGUUUCCAAGCAAUACACAAUCACAACUGAAUCCACACUUGUUCAUAUCCUAGUUUCGGCCUAGAGACCCUCUCUCUCAAGAGAUGUGUUCUUCAAUAAUAUUCUUGUUCAUAUCCUAGUUUCGGCCUAGAGACCCUCUCUCUCAAGAGAUGUGUUCUUCAAUAAUAUUCAAUAACUAAGGAACUAAAACCCUAUAUUGUUCUAUUUAUAGUACUUUACAAAUAAAAAGAUAAAAUCUCAAAAAAGCCCUUUAAUGACCAAGUAGGCAAAUAGGCACCCAUAGAGUGUUUUUAGGGGCGGUUUGAAGCCCUUUUUAACACUUCACUCGUACACCUCCGAGGUUACAUCCAAAAUACUCAAAAACGUUCAUCUUCAUGAUCAUGCUUGUAUCACCUCCUUACCUAUUAGCAUUCUGCCCAACACCUUGAACAGAAUAAUGGUAUCUCGUUGCCAGAAAUUGAAAUUGGAGAUGCCGGUUGGUUAUUGUAACAUGUUUCUAGAGGAAUUGAGACUCGAUGAAUACGAUUCUAUAGAUGAUACAUCAUCACCUGCGUAUGAGUUGGUCCCAAGAGCACGCAUAUUGUGGGUAGAGUAUUGCCACAACCUUACUAAGUUAUUGAUUCCUACUGGGACUGAAAGACUCUUUAUUGGGGAUUGUGACAAUCUUGAAAUACUUUCGGUGGCAGGUGGGACUCAGAUAAUUUCAUUGUAUAAUGGGGAUUGUGAGAAGCUGAAGCGGCUGCGAGAACAUAUGCACGAACUCCUUCCAUCUCUUAAGAUCCUAAAACAGGAGAAUUGUCCAAAAAUAGAGUCCUUUCUUAAAGGAGGAUUGCCCUUCAAUUUACAGGUUGUUUGGACGGUGGUUUUCUAUGGUAUGGUAUAGUAUGAUUUUCAAGGAAACCAUGUCUGUUUUGAUUAUUUUUUAAAAGGUAUAGUAUGGUAUGGUAAUCCUUCAUACUUUGGGAACCAUGGAAUAGUACAAUUUUUAGAACCACCAAUUUGGUGGUUUUCCAUGAUUUUCUUAUUUAUUUUUUCAACUAUACCCUCACAUAAUAUUUUCUAUUCUUAUUUUACCCUUUAUCCCAUUUUACUUAUAACCUUAAUAUGUUAUAAUUUUUAAGCAUAAUUAUUUCCCAAGCAAAAAAAAUUAUUAUUAAACAGUAGUGAAUGAUAUACUCUAUCCAAAUAUAGUACCGUACCAUAUCAUAUCAUACUGUACCGUAUAUUAUCAAACCAGGCAAACCACCGUCCAAACAAAGUGUUAGAAGUCCUUCAGAUUUUCAAUUGCAAGAAACUGGUGAAUGGUUGAAAGGAUUGGCAUUUACAGAGACUCCCCUGUCUCAGACUGUUACAUAUUGAACAUGAUGGCAGGGACGAAGAGAUUCUUGCUAAAGAGAAUUGGGAGUUGCCUUGCUCUAUUCAAACUCUUCGCAUAUCCAAUCUGAAAACACUAAGCAGUCAAAUUCUUAAAUGCCUCACCUCUCUUGAAUCUCUACAUAUUGGUAAUUUACCUCAAAUUCAGUCACUGCUGGAACAAGGGCUUCCCUCCUCUCUCUCCGUGCUGUCUGUACGGAAUUGCCCUAAUCUCCAAGCCCUUCCAGUAAAACGGUUACCCUCUUCCCUCUCUACACUAUUUAUUCACG
rnacentral:lncRNA from 1 species